rnacentral:rRNA from 1 species
AGUGGGUGUAACGUACCUACUAGCCUACGACGGGUACGGGUUGUGAGAGCAAGAGCCCGGAGAUGGAUUCUGAGACAUGAAUCCAGGCCCUACGGGGCGCAGCAGGCGCGAAAACUUUACAAUGCGGGAAGCCGUGAUAAGGGAAUCUCGAGUGCCAGCAUAUAAUGUUGGCUGUCCAGAUGCCUAAAAAGCAUCUGUUAGCAAGGGCCGGGCAAGACCGGUGCCAGCCGCCGCGGUAACACCGGCGGCCCGAGUGGUAACCGUUUUUAUUGGGUCUAAAGGGUCUGUAGCCGGCCAUGUAAGUCCCUUGGGAAAUCUGGCAGCUCAACUGUCAGGCUGCUAGGGGAUACUGCUUGGCUUGGGACCGGGAGAGGUGAGAGGUACCUUGAGGGUAGGGGUGAAAUCUUGUGAUCCUCGGGGGACCACCAGUGGCGAAGGCGUCUCACCAGAACGGGUCCGACGGUAAGGGACGAAAGCUAGGGGCACGAACCGGAUUAGAU